GGAAGGGRUGUAUUUAUUAGAUAAAAAACCAAUGCCCUUCGGGGCUCUUUGGUGAUUCAUGAUAACUUUACGGAUCGCAUAGCCUUGCGCUGGCGACGGUUCAUUCAAAUUUCUGCCCUAUCAACUUUCGAUGGUAAGGUAUUGGCUUACCAUGGUUUCAACGGGUAACGGGGAAUUAGGGUUCGAUUCCGGAGAGGGAGCCUGAGAAACGGCUACCACAUCCAAGGAAGGCAGCAGGCGCGCAAAUUACCCAAUCCCGACACGGGGAGGUAGUGACAAUAAAUACUGAUACAGGGCUCUUUUGGGUCUUGUAAUUGGAAUGAGUACAAUUUAAACCUCUUAACGAGGAACAAUUGGAGGGCAAGUCUGGUGCCAGCAGCCGCGGUAAUUCCAGCUCCAAUAGCGUAUAUUAAAGUUGUUGCAGUUAAAAAGCUCGUAGUUGAAACUUGGGCCUGGCUGGCGGGUCCGCCUCACCGCGUGCACUCGUCCGGCCGGGCCUUCCUUCUGAAGAACCUCAUGCCCUUCACUGGGCGUGUUGGGGAACCAGGACUUUUAC
rnacentral:rRNA from 1 species